rnacentral:lncRNA from 1 species
CCGGCUUUGGGUCUUUGGAUUGAGUGUCCCCAAAGAGGCCGCUGAGCUUGGUGACGCUGCUCAUGGAGCCCCGGCGCGAGUGGGUGAGCUCCUUCUCCUUGCGCUGCACCACAGCCACGUCUUUGCGCCGAUGAUCACAGACGCAGUAGACGGUGAUGCCCGAGAAGACGGCCCCCAUGACGAAAGCCAGGAUGACUGCAAUGGCCAAGAGGGUGACGGGAACCAGCUGGUCGUGGCCUUUGAGGAAGGGUCCUCCUCCCUUCAAUUGUGACAUCACAGUUGGUUGCUGUGGAAAUGAUUGUCCUGUGACAAAGGAUUGUGACUUAAGUAGAAGCAGCAAAUAUCUCUUAAGAAAUAAAGAUUCUGUGAUCCAACAAAUACCCUUGGUAAUAAAAGGCAGUCAAGGCAAUUCACCAUAAGGAAAGAGUGUACAAGACGGUAAGAUAUCAAAUAAUUUUCAAAUGUGAUACUUUUCAAAUAUUUUUGCCUCAAGACCUGAAAAUGAAUGAGCAUCAUCCCUUAAAGUGUUAACACGGAAGCAUUAAUAAGUAAGUACCUUUCCUUUUGUAAAGGAAAUAAGAGAGAACAUAGCUUAGGUAGUGAUUUUUGUUCAUAAGAGUAUCUCAUAGUUUAAUUAUUCUGUCUAUUUAAGAAAUUACCUGGGAGUUAAAAUUGGUCUUGGUAUGAUUGAUGAAUGCUGGGGAGGUUGCUGGUUCAAUUCGUUUCAAGAUCUUAAUUUCUCAAAAUCUGAUGAAGACUAUUCAAUUAUAGGAAAUGAUCGCAAAGUAUCAUAUUGGAAAAAAGCAGAUGCUAAGUGCGGUUUUUUCCUCAAGGCAGUCUCAACUAGGUGACAUUUGCCUUCUGAGCAAUUUUUCUUCUAGUCUUUGGUGUUCAAUAUUCUGGUUUCAAUCAUAGAUGAGGGAACAUUAAAGUUGGAUGAAUUCUGUGGGCUUAUCUACUCCACACUCCAAGAACAAUGAGAUAAAUCCUGUUUGCACAUCAUUUCCACUGCGUCACUCUUCCUUGUCUACAUUCUGAAGAAAUCGCACUGAAAACAUAUCUAAAUAUUCAUACUCUUUUUGAGCUUAAAUUUCAGUGGCCAAUUUCAUACUAUAUUGGAAAGUUUUGUCUAAUAAGAGCCUGACCUGUGUAUCCUGUAUAGAUUUUCGCCAGCAGAGGGUAUUGUCCUGAGUGCCAGCAUUUUGGGGGAUGGUGAACUGUAUCAGCUGAGGAGCUAUAGUCUAUCAGUUAGGAGCAUUAUUCCUUUGUCUUGGAUAUACUUAUGUUCAAAAGCAAUUUCUUCUCCCUCAAGAACUCAUUAAAUGUAUUCACCAAAUACAGAAACUGAUUCUUCACUGUAUGCCAUGGUUGGCUGACAGUAAGGUUAAAGUGGAGGUGGCUGAGGACUUCUCCCAUUAAAAGUUCAAGUUCUUCCUGAUGUUAACCACAAGAUGAUGCCGACAUCAACGAUUACUCUUUCAACGUAAAUAAAAACAAAGCAUAGAAUGGAAGAUUGUGUGUUUAUUUUAUGUCACAAAAGGAAGGCAAGCCUGGAAAUGCCAACCUCCCAUCAUAUUAAUUUUAAUGCCAGAUGCUCCAGCGUUCCCUGAUGUACAAAGCUGCUGGUUGAAGUGUGUUUUUAUGUUGUUAUAUGACCACAGGCACAAAACCCUGCAUGUCUGCGGCAGCCUUUUAUGAGCUCUUCCACAGACUCCCUGUGGGCCUUGGACUGCGGAGGUGGGCAUCGGCGUACACUCAGAAGACAAGACUCUGGGCAGCCGGCUUUGUGUCCAUAAUCCUGUGUGCGCCUAAGUAGUUCAUGAUGCAGGCCUAGCAGCUGUUGUAAUGUUUCAUCACAUUAAAAGCAAACUAUUUUUGCAAAUUAAAGCCUUCAGUAAGUUGAAAAAAUACAACAGAGAAAGAUAACAGGCCGACUCACGUGAAUAUAAAACGAGCGGGAAGGGCAGUUGGCUUAGAAAAUUCCCUUGCCAGCUACUGUGAGUGUGCAUGGGGGGAGGGGGUGGAAGGGGGUGGAAGGGCGUGGUAAGGGGUGGAGGAGUAGGGGCCUGUUUUGUAAAUUGCUGAAUAGGCAAGUUUCUUCAAACUUCAGUAGGCUGCCAGAAUCACCCUGCCCUUUAAUUUCAAGGCAGUUUUAUUGCAUUUGUUUAUUACUUGCUUGACUUUAUUGGUGGUGCUGUGGUCAGACUCAUUAUUGGAAUGGAAUUGCCUAUUACUUUGCUAUCAGGUUUGAGAUGACUCGAGGCUUUUCCUUGCCUGCCUCCCCUCAGAACUUAAGUUUGAGCUGAACAUAUGAAUUGUAAAUGAACAACUGAUUAAUAUGCAUUGGCAGCUCCUCAGAAAGCUCUCAGAUUGCCCCCUUUUGGCAUGGCCUGUUUAUGUUAAUUAGCAGUUUAGAGAUUAAAAAAGAAGAGGAAUUUACAAAGUGGAUAAUAAUAAAGCAGAAUUGAAAGGGGUUCUUGCCACCAACCCUCACUCAGUCCCCCGGGUUCUGGAUGGGACUUGGCUUGCGAUUGCUGACAGCAAUUGUCUAGAAGAACUGGGAAGCCUUUUAAACACAGAAUUCUGUGAAUGAAAUCUUUUAAGCCCAAAUUGGAUCACAGAACUGUGAUGUACAAAUGGUGUUGUGAUUAUUGGUUGCCAUGAGCCAAAUGAACCAUGCAGAAUGCUAAUUGGGCAGGAAACCAGCUUUCAGGUACUCCAGAUUGAAGACGAAACAAAGGAGACCAAAAGGACUGUCUGAAAACCGUGUGAAUGCAUUCACGCUGAUAAAUUUUUUAAAAAUAAUAAAUUCUUUUCAAUUACUAGAGC